rnacentral:rRNA from 1 species
AUUGAACGCUGGCGGCAUGCUUUACACAUGCAAGUCGAACGGUAACAGGGCCUUCGGGCGCUGACGAGUGGCGAACGGGUGAGUAAUGCAUCGGAACGUGCCCAGAGGUGGGGAUAACGCAGCGAAAGCUGUGCCUAAUACCGCAUAUUAUCUGAGGAUGAAAGCGGGGGACUAAGCAGCAAUGUUUGGCCUCGCGCCUUUGGAGCGGCCGAUGGUCAGAUUAGGUAGUUGGUGGGGUAAAGGCCUACCAAGCCGACGAUCUGUAGCUGGUCUGAGAGGACGACCAGCCACACUGGGACUGAGACACGGCCCAGACUCCUACGGGAGGCAGCAGUGGGGAAUUUUGGACAAUGGGCGCAAGCCUGAUCCAGCAAUGCCGCGUGCAGGAAGAAGGCCUUCGGGUUGUAAACUGCUUUUGUACGGAACGAAAAGGCUCUGGUUAAUACCUGGGGCUCAUGACGGUACCGUAAGAAUAAGCACCGGCUAACUACGUG